rnacentral:rRNA from 1 species
GAAUGCUAAGAGAAUGGAAAUACAGGAAAAAACUUUUUUUAAAUUAAAAAUUGAAAUUUUUUUAAUUUGUGCAGAAACAAUUAUUAAUAUUAAGGACAAGAAGACCCUAUGAAUUUAUUAAAUUUUAUUUAAUAUGUAAUUACUAUUAGAAAAAUUUUGGCUGGGGCGGCUAAAAAAUAUUUUAAACUUUUUAAAAAUAAAAUGAUCCAUUAUUAAUGAUUAUAUGUUAAAUACUCUAGGGAUAACAGCGUUAUAUUUUUUGAUAGAUCAUAUUGACAAAAAAGUUUGCGACCUCGAUGUUGGAUUAGGAUACUUUUUUAAUGCAGAUAUUAAAAAA